AACAUCUUAUAAUACGGAUGACAUGCAGAAAUCCCUUUUUACUCUUAUAGGAAAUAAUUAUAGAAUAUGUAAUAGUCUAACCUUGUUUCACUGUGUUUUAAAAAAUCAUAAUAGUGCUUUUCUAUUCACUGCUAAUAAAUACAUUGUUCACAGAAUUGCUUGCUAGUUUUAUGUGAUAGUAUUGUUCUUCAAGUCAGUUGAGUGCCUGAAUAUUGCCGACUGCUAGGAUCCUAUCAUAACUGUACCAUACAUAGGUCUUAUGUGCUUUGCUUUGUUCUGUAUGUCUUCCUGAGGAGUAUUUGAGGCAGAAAUUGAUUUCUGAUGUGAGGUUUUGAACAUAUAUAUUAUGGUUAUCACCAUUUGGUAUUUGUCACCUAUUUUUUAAGUUGAAAUUGCUAGCUUUAUCAUAUCUUGGAGUUUUCAUAUUAAGUAUUAUAUACAAGUUUACUGCUAUUUAUAUAUAUAUAUAUAUAUAGUGGUAGGAUCAAAUAAAAACUUUUUUAAGUUACAAACUUACAAACUUUUUUUUGAAUUUUUUUAUUCUGCCAACAUGUUAAUCCUUAGUUAUAGAAAGUAUCAAUGUUGAAAAUUAUUGCAAAAACAUCACAAUUUUUAAAAAUAACGUAUAAAUAGAUCGUGCAUUCAACACAUUUGUAACUGAGGUUCAACAACACAUUUGUAACUGAGGUUCAACAUAGGGUGUAAAACACUAACUAUCAUUGUGUUGAAUAUAUCUAUAAAGAUGUUUAAACUAUAUCUUUGGGGUUUGGGUAGGGUCUAGAAACAUAUAUAUUGGUAAUAUAAUACGUUUAACUUAACAUUGGAAAAUUAGUUUAUGUACUUCUCCAACACAAUUUUAAUCGAUGUUCAACAAAAUAUGUUAAACAAAUGUUGAACUGAAAUUAUAUAUGUGUUGAACGCAUAAAGUUUGUAAGUUAGUACCAGAACCCACCCCUCUCUCUCUCUCUAUAUAUAUAUAUAUAUAUAUAUAUAUUUAUAUAUAUAUAUAUAUAUACUCCUUAAUAUUCAUUUAUAUUGAAAAAUUCUAAGCAAUGGUUCUCGCCCUUUUUGUAUCUUGAUGUCGUUUACAGAUAAAGCGUUCAACAGGACUUCAUGGAGCAUCUCUUUUUAGUGAAGAUAUCGUACGUCAGUGUCCAGGGUUGAGAUGUGGAAGAUUUUGGAAGGAAGAGCAUGACCUCUUACUUCUCCGUGCAGUACUAAAGUAUGUAUAACAGUAUAUGAUUGCGCGUGUGUGUGUGUGUGUGUGUUAAAUUUACCUUUUUAGAGCGUGUAUGGGCAAUAUCACAAUAGUCAAGUGGCUGCUAGAGACUUUUCUUUACCUCACGAUUAUGUAUUUUCAGUUUUUUACUAAAAAUACUCUGGCAUAGCACUUCCCAAAAUGUAGGAUAUGAGACCAAUUGUAAUCUUGAAAUUACAAUACCUUUCCAUCACUACUAUUGCACCUACUGAAGAUUCUGAUUUUGUUAUUUCUCAUACUCUAGUAUAUAUAAUGAUUAUAGGUAAAGGGAAUGUACUUGACAUGGCAGAAAACUUCCAUUGAUCAUUAUAAUGCAUUUUUAUUAUUUCAUUAAUUUUCUGGGGGUGGAUAGUUCUCAUUAUUUAUGCCUUAAAACGCCUUCAUUAGUUCGCAUUUAUAAAUGAUAUGGGUUGUCAUGCUAUUCGAGAGAGGUGGGGGAGCAAAGCUCAUGAAGCAAAGAACUAUCACUCGAACUAAUGUGAGGAAAAACAGAUCUGUGUUCUUUUGUUCAACUAGUUUAUAUAUAGAUAUCUAAGACAUGUUUUGACCUGGCCAAUUUAAAAUGGAUUAAAAUAGUAAACCCUAGUUUAGUUUGUGACUAGGUGUGACUCCAUGAUGACCUUCACCAAACAAAAUGAUUCCAUCUACUUGUUUUCUUCCCCCUUGUGGUCCAGUAUCGUGAAAAGUGCUCUUAUAUGAUUCUUCUUGAUUAGGCUCAACAUCUGCGAGGAAAUUCUGUAGUGUUACUUGAGUUCCAAAUUUAUAAUUAGUUGUUGGGGAAAUAAUUCGCUCUCACAAAAAUUUGCAAAAACUCAUGAGUUUAUGUUAAGAAGUUAAAUAUCCUUGCUAAGAAUGCAAGCAACUCUCUUUAGUUGGUAGGUUAUUACAGGAAAUACCCUAAGAAAUUUGGUGGUGAUUUAAUAGAAUUUGGUUAAGGGUUACCUGGAGAAAAAUUGGAUAUGUGUGUGUGUGUAGGCCAUUGCUCAAAGAAGAACACUGCUAAAAGAAGAAUAAAGAAGAACACUUUAGAAUCAAAUAUAGAAUCUCAUCUAAAACUUGCAUUAAAUUCUUAUUUUAAGGUAAUUAACCUUCUAUUGUGAAUAAUAAUAGUAUCCAACAUGUUUAACAAUAAAUAUGGAUUAAAAAUAAAAUGAUUCUAUGUAAAAUUAGUCGUGUAAAAAAUAUAUACAUGAUUCUGUUCUGGAUUUUGUUCUUGAUUCUAUAAUAUUUCAUAUUAAUAAUUUGAAUAAGUUUGGGUGUUAGAUUUCGUAUAUUAAGUUUAAUUGGUGUUUAACUAUGUAGUUAUAAUCUUAACAAAUCAUUUUUUAUGAAAAAUGAAGUGUUAUAAUAGUGCUAUGUGUUCUUUUUUAAAGUGUUCUUUCUAGGGUGCAACCAUAGAGGGCAUUGCUCAAAGAAGAACACCCUUAAAAGAAGAACAAAGAAGAACACUGUAGAAUCGCAUAUAAAAUCUCAUUUAAAACUUGAAUUAAAUUCUAAUUUUAAGCUAAUUAACCUUUUAUUAUGAAUAAUAAUAGUAUAUAACAUGUUUAAGUUUAACAAUAAAUAUGGAUUAAAAAUAAAAUGAUUCUAUGUAAUAUUAAUCGUGCGAAAUAUAUAUGCAUGAUUAUGUUCUGGAUUCUAUAAUAUUUCAUAUUAAUCAUUUGGAUGAGUUUGGAUGUUAGAUUUCAUAUAUUAAGUUUAAUUGCUGUUUAAUUAUGAAAUUAUAAUCUUAACAAAUCAUUUUUUAUGAAAAAUAAAGUGUUAUGAUAGUGUUCUUUGUUCUUUUUUUAAAAUGUUAUGUGUGGAGUGCAACCACACACACACACACACACACAUAUAUAUAUAAAUACGAACUACAAACUAGUGUCUAUAUAUAUAGAGUACUACUCCAAUAGAAACCAAAUUAGCCUAAAAACUAAAAACCAGUUUCUCGACAGUUUUUUAUCACUACUUUUAACUACAUAAAUCACUAAUUUGAACAUAACAUAUCACUAAUUUAUAUAUAGCAUAUCUCGCGGAUAUAAAUAUAUAUAUACACAUAUAUGCAACGUAUAUGACCAUCAUCUUCACCCAAAUCGUAAUAAUGGACCUCUUACCACCAUUACCAGACGUUUGCAUGACUUGCCACCAUUGUCUAUCAUCACCAAUAGUCACAUACACUUUUCCAUCAUAACUUACAAAACUAACGACUACUUACCAUCAUCAUACAACUUCUCUUGCGGCUUCCUACCGUCAAGAACCUUCCUACGGAUGAAAUUGAUCAUCUAUAAUCGAUUAUCAAUAGUUUAGAUAAGUAGUUUUUUUCAAUUUUGAUAAUAAAAUCGUUGUUUACAUACUGUAUAAAAACAGUGAUUAGUGCAGUAUAAAUCAAUGAUACCCGUGGUUAUAAAUAGUGGUAGGGAAACUGGUUUCUAGUUUUUAUUUUAAGAGUGGUUUCUAUUUGAUCAUGAGCCUAUAUAUAUAUAUAGGCUCAUGAUCAAAAAGAACCCACUCUAAAAAUAAAAACUAAAAACCAGUUUCUGGACAGUUUUUUAUCACUAUUUUUAACUAUAGAAAUCACUAAUUUGUACAUAACAUAUCACUAAUUUAUAUAUUGCAUCUCCCGCGAAUAUAAAUAUAUAUAUAUACACAUAUAUGCAACGUAUAUGACCAUCAUCUUCACCCAAAUCGUAAUAAUGGUCCUUUUACCACCAUUACCAGACGUUUCUAUGACUUGCCACCACUGUCUAUCAUCACCAAUAGUCACAUACAUUUUUCAUCAUAACUUACAAAACUAACGACUACUUACCAUCAUCAUACAACUUCUCUUGCGGCUUCCUACCGCCAAGAACCUUCCUACGGAUGAAAUUGAUCAUCUAUAAUCGAUUAUCAAUAGUUUAGAUAAGUAGAUUUUCUCAAUUUUGAUAAUAAAAGUCGCUGUUUACAUACUGUAUAAAAACAGUGAUUAGUGCAGUAUAAAUUAGUGAUACCCGUAGUUAUAAAUAGUGGUAGGGAAACUGGUUUCUAGUUUUUAUUUUAAGAGUGGUUUCUAUUUGAUCAUGAGCCUAUAUAUAUAUAUAUAUACGAACUACAAACUAAUAUGAGCCCUUAGAUGAAUCUAAUCCAAUGACCCCCUAGAAGUCAUCACACACAAUUAACAUACACCCACACAUGAUCCCAUAGGAUCCCCUCUUUUUUUAAUUUAAAUUUUCCCGUCAAUCGGUAAACUUUUUUUGAAAUCCGACUUCACUUUAUUUUUAUUCAUCUCCCAACGUUCAACUUGCAUACCAUAUAUGCUAUAUUUUGAUGUGAUUUAGAAAACUUUUUAUUUCAGUUUGUGGUUUUUAUUCUAAGAAAGGUUUGUAGUGGAGUUUGUUGGGGGGGGGGGGGGGGGGGGGGGGGGAAAUUUAGGGCAUGUGAAAAGUAUUAAGUGUUCUGCUUAUGGGCUACUGUAAUUACGUUAUGUGACUAUGCCACAUGCUAAUUAUUAUAUAAUUGAACUACCGACAAAAUUCUUGAAGUUAUUCAUUUGAAUUACUUUCACUAUAUAUUUAUUUUUCAAGAAAAGAACGUGCAUAUAAUCGUGCAUGCAAGUUCAUUUUAAUUUCCUCGUUCUUGCUGCUAGCCCUAUAUAAUUUAUGAUUAUAUAAUAUGCAACUUAGAAUGAGACAAAAUUGUAAGCUAUGUUAUUCGGACUCUUCAUUUUGCCUCCAAGUACCUGUGAUGGGCACUCGACAUGGACACUUGGACUAAGGCACUUAUUUUAGGCCAAAAACAUGUACACUUUUAAAAUAUUACAGAGUACCAUACAUGGACAGGUAUCCAUGUCAGACAAUCCUAGCCGAGUCCGAGUAACUUAGAUUGCAACAAAAUCAAACCAAAUUUUAGGGCACGAUUUGAUAUUUAUGUGUAUCCUAUCGUCUGUUAUCCAAUGUGGAGCAGGGAAAAGUGAAAUUAGUUGUUAGUGUGAUUGUAAUUAAAUAUUUUUAUUUUUAUUUUAAACACUUUAGAGGGUAGACAUACAGUAAUAGUUAAUAUUGUUGUAUUACAGUCCUGUUUGUUUUUUAUUUAUUUAUGCCAGGAUACUGUACAAUUAAUGUCUCUUUCUUGUGUCUUAUAUAAUGCCCGUAUUAUUGUGUCCUGUCCUUUAUAAAAAGCUCUUAUUACUGUUUAAUGUACUUAUACUCUUAGCGGUAGUGACUUGCAAGUUUAAAUUGUAAUUAAGCAGUCAACUACAACUCUUAGAUAUAUUUAAUUUGUUUUUUGGAUGCAGGCAUGGUUAUGGAAGAUGGCAAGCUAUUGUUGAUGACAAGGAAGUGAGAGUUCAGGAGCUUAUAUGUCAUGAGUUGAAUAUACCCUACGUAAGUCUUCCUGUUUUCGGAGCUCAAGCACAAGUUCCUGAAGUCAGGGCUCAGGAACAAGGUGUUAGCAUUGAAGGUUCUCAAGCACAAGGCACAAAUAUUUCUACCCUCGAAACGAUGGCUUAUGAUUCAAAGAUGCAAGUGGGUGGGAAUGGUUUAGGAACUAAUGCUACAAAGGAAACUAUCACCAAUCGCACACAAGUCUUUCAGGACUCUUCUCUUCUGUCUAAUUUUCGAGAAAUGCAGCGAAAAAAUGUUGAGUUUAUCAAGAAGCGGGUGCAGCUUUUGGAGAGAGCACUAAGUGCAGAAUAUCAGAAAGAAGUUUAUGUAAGUUUAUCAUAUCUUCUUGUGUCGGGACUCGGUCUGAACGUUAACUUAUACGGUAGUGUGACUCAACUCAGUUGCAGGAUGCGUAUCUUUUAAUCAAAGGAUAGAAUAUAUGUCCAGUUGCAUCACUUUGUAAGCACACAGAAAGUUGAGUAUCGCAAUAGUAUAUUUGACGCAGGAAAAGAGAAAAAAAUAAGAAAUGAAUUCAUCUUACACACUCAUCAUUAUUUCUGGACGUACUGUUAGAAUAGUUUCCCUGCAGCAGUAUCAGGCGCAUGUUUGGUGAAUUUGUUGUUUCGAUAGAACAUCGAAGGCAACAAAGUCUGCCCAGUUUAGCUUCUUGGGUGUUCCAGUCUUGUGUUACCGGAAUUUUUUUUAAAUCAAAACUGGUUUUUAAGAUUUUUGUUGUUUUUUUAUGUUGUUGGACUCUGGCGCUUAAUAUAUCCAAUGAAACUUCUGCUCGCGUAAAGUAUUUAUAUUUUUAUGUUGGUCUUAUGAUUAUCACAUUACAGGCUGAUGAAAAUACUAGUGAGGUUCCUGCUGGAGACAUGGAGACUGAAUCCGUGGUAGCCGACAUAACAGAUCCAAAUGUCAAGGAAGACAUGGCAGAUGCAAAUGUCAAGGAGGAUAUAGCAGAUCCAAAUGUCAAGGAGAAUAAUUCUGACUUGUAUGAAUGUUUGCCUCGUCUAGACGUGAUCUGUGAGUGAACAAGCUUUUCUUCCCUUUCUUGAGGCUUUUUUUUUUUUUUUUUUUUUUUUAACACUGCUCGGCUUCCAACUUAUCUCUUAAUGGUUUCUGCCACUUUCCAUGUAUUGCUCUUGAAAUUACCAUGAACGUUUUCUUACAAGAUAAUGCAAGGGUAGUUACUAGAAUAUCGUACCACUCGAACUGUAGUGUUGCGUACAUUAAACUUAGAACAUAUAGCAAUACAUCAAAAAGGUAUUUGCAUAUUUCUCAAGAUAAAGCUAAAAUAUCCAUGUUGCGGGUGUUUACCGCCGAUAUGAUUUAUUAUAUUAGCAACUGACACACCUGAUGUUGAAAACAGUCAAAUAAUGACAGAGUACAAUCCUAGUAAACUUGGGAUAGAUUCUUCAAAUCUAAAAGGGUAGAUCUGCCUUCGUUGACCGGGGCCAUCAUAUAUCAUUUUCUCUGUUUCCAGUAAGUCUGAGUAGAGGUCAUAGUAACCAAGUGAGCGACCAGUUGUUUAGUUGAAAUUGCAGAAUGACGUACUCGCUUGACCGAUUGCUUAGUAGUUAAGCAUGACUGCAUGAGUAUUCAUAUUUGAUGAAGUACUAAGUCUGUUCCAUAAGAAAAUGUUUUGAGACUUCAACCCAGUCGGGGCCUUGCAUGGGAAUUAUAUUCAAUAUAUUAUAAGGGAUUUUCUAUGGUGUGCCCAAGGGCACACAAUAGUCCCUAACUCCAAUAAAAAUAGCUCCUUUUGAUUGGUGGAUGAAUAAUAAAUGAUAAUGGCCCCCCUGCAUUUACAUCAACUCCACCAAUCAGAAUAGGCCAUUUUUAUAGAAUUUAGUGAUUAUUGUGUGCCCUUGGGCACACAUUAGAAUUAUACUUUUUUGGCAAGCAAAGGUAUACUUGAUUGGGAAGUAAGCGGAGCUGGGUAUUUUGUGUUGGGGGAAAUUCAAAGUUUAAGGAAAUUUAAACAUUCGACUUUAGGGAUUUGUUUUGGCCUUUUUUUUUUUAAAUUUUUAAUUAAUCAUCUUAAGAUAGAUUUUAAUGUCUAGUUCAGAGUUUCAGUGUUAGAUAGGCAAUAAAGCUUCUCUUUUCAUGUAACAUUAACGAAUAGAACAUGAGUUCUUACGCUACUUUUCUCGUGUCUUGAUUUCAGUAGUGGGUAAUUAAAUUUCUUUCAAGCUCUUAUAGAGUUAGUCUUGCUUGCAUUGUGGGUGGUUAAUUCCUUUAAAAGAAACAUUUAAACUUAUAGUUACGUAUCUAUUAUUUGUUUUUCCCCAAACAUAUAUAUUAUAUUAUCUUGGUAUCUAAAGCCGUGGUUCUGAUAGUUUUUGGUAUUUCAUAUUGGAAGAAACAUUUAAAGAUGCAUUCUUUGUUUCAAGAUUUCUUGAGUUUUGUUAAGUUACAUCGAAAUGACUGGUGAACUAGUUGUUGACUAGUAGCGAGUAUUCAAGAGCCGUAACAUCAAUGUUGUUCAAGGCACUUUCUCCAAGAACUUAUGUAUGAGUAGUUCAGUCAGGAGUACUAGGUUUUUCCAUGGUUAAGAUAUUUAGGUAGAAGUGUAUCUCAUGGCUAGAAACUAAAGGUUUCAUGUAAUGAUAAAGCCAUAUGAUACUCAAAUUUGAUAGGAGUAUGAGUAUUAUAAAAUUCUUAGAAUGGUAGCAACGUAUUGAACAAGUGUUCUAUUACAAGGAUAGUGAUGAUCAAUAGUGGCCGAAGAUUGUUCUUUUGAAGUUUAAGAUAUUUACUGGUACAAGAUUACAAAGAACAAGAACAGGAAGAAAAGACCCUGUUUUCCUGAAAGCUACAUGCUAAGUCCCUGUAACAUCAUUGUGUAAUUCAUAUAGUGUGUAUAUCUAUUAUUAUGCUGCUAAAUUAUUAUUUUACAUUCAACAUUUUAAAAUAAUAAUGAUAUGUGUGUGUGUGUGUGUGUGAGUUUGCACAUUAGACUAUUAGCAUACGCGAGAAUCCUUGUGUGUCAUUAUCCUACUGUGAGAUGAUAUGGUUUAACAUUAAAUUAGGUUCUAUUAAUGGUAUAUAUUUUUCCUUCAUUCAGGUUCUACCAAAAGGAUUGUUGGUAAUGUAUAUGCAAAUAUUGAUAUAAUGCAUGAGGUUUGGGUUCUGGUAAUGCACCAUUAAGCAGGUGACAGUCAGUCCCUUGUCAACUUGACUACACUUUACAACAAUACUAGGAAGAAUUUAAGUGUAGAGUAAUCUGCUCGUCUCACAUUGAGACUUGUGAAGCACUUGGUUAAGUUUAAAAGGUGAAGUACUAAUACCAGUUGCACUGACAGAUUUUAUGAUUGUUUGAGGCUUUGGUGGGCUUGUUGAUUAGUUGUUGUGUGAGUGUACUGGGUAUAUUUCAGAUCUUAUUUAAACCUGGAUAUGGAUUAAGUCUCGCGAUUUAAAUUAGGUUGUUCUAUCAAUUUUUGUAUUAGAACUUAUCAUGUAUCAUUAUCUCAACCAGCUCUAUACACUACAGUAGCAUCUGGAAAAUGUACAGCAGUGCUAUGCUAUUGCCUUUUCAUGAGAGAUUUAGACUUUCACAUUAAACAGUUACUACCUUACUGUAUGAAGAUUUUUUACCUAAUUCUUUACUUGCGCAGCUCCAGAAGAAAUAGCAGCAGCUGCUUGUGAUGAUAAUAAACAGCGUAUGGAUAUGGCUCAACUUUAUAACAAGGUGGCUUCCUGAGACCUCAUCUUGCAUUCUAAUCACUGUUGUCACUUGGAAUGUUACUUAUUUGCUAAAUUUUUGUGUUAGUAACUUUGCACAUUGAUAGAGCUUUGGAUUCGUUUUAACUUUGUACACUAGUUAUUGCUCUGUUUUAAGAUAAAUUAUUCUUGCCCUUUGUGCACCUCAGGGUUCUUUUUGGAAAAACAUUAGCAUGAUACAUUGUUGACACCUAUAAGUUGCUAAAACUAGAAGUGCAAAUUGGGAACAUACAUGGACUUGUACAACCUAACCUAAAGCUUAAGCUCAAUAGCUUGAUGCCCCAUAGAAACAUCAGCUUUUUUGUAUUUUAACCAUAUUGCUUCUGAACAUUAUUCACAGAUGUGCAGUGUACUGGAUCAUAGUGUCCACGAUUGUGUCAAAGCACAUUUGACAAGUAAACCUGUUGGUCCUGAGUUGAGACAAAACCUUCUUCCAUUAGAGUCAAUUUACCAAAGCAUCUGCCAAAAUCUGCGUUCUGGGCAGCAGAGUAUAUCUGGUGCAGAAUCGGCGACUUUGGAAAGAGAUAAUCUAUCAUCUGUUGAAGGACACAUAUCUUCAUCACCUCAAGCAAAUGAGCAUGAUCAUAGAGCUGGGAUAGAAACAGAGGCCAAGGUUACUGCAGAAGUUCAGCCAAUAACCGAAUCAGUAGAAGAAAAGACCAGUCCUGUAUGUGACAUCCAGACUACUGACUUUUGUUCACUUGAAAGAAAACCUGCUUCAACUAGUGGCACUGGAGGUAAUGUUGAGAUGGAAGAGGCAGAGCAUACAGUUGAUUCUGGUAACGCAGCAUCUGGGAGUAGUGAGAAAAAAGGCCCCCCUGUUAUAUAUCUGGAUGAUUGAAUCAGUACAAAGAUCUAUUUUUGAAAUUUCUGAGGAGAAAAAAAAAUCUAGGUUAUCCAUGUAGCUGCUAGAUUGAAAUGGAGUCAGUUGCAAUAGCCUAGGUGUCCAAAUGUUGUUUUCUAUAUAACAUGAACUCAUGAAGCACCCCCCACAGCGGGUCAAUGACAACUAUUCUGGACGGCCUAAAAUAGAGAACAUUUAGUUUUGCAAAACACUAUAUAUUUUAUUUGCCGUGCAAUUUUCUGUAUACUAAAACAUAUGGUGGUGUUCUGAAUUGUUCUUUAAGUUGUCAAUUAAAAUUGUGUUUCAAAAACAAAGAUAAAAUACGUUUUUGUAUAUAUAGAAUUAGCUGGUGUUCUGCAAAUGUUUUCUUGUAACAAUUUUUAGAAAAGUAUAAUAAAUAUCGUUUGUUUGAUAGAAACUCCUGGAUGGAUAGUGCUUGCGGGUUGAUGAAGCAUUAGCAGUGUUCGAAACCAAACCAUGGCAACAAAGGAAAUAUUGGCUAUAAUAUCCUCCUCAAUGGGUAUCGUAAAAAGUUGAAAGUGGAAGGUCAAUAAAACCAGUAAUAAAUUAAAAGUUACGAUCAGACGGCAUCAUCUUUUAAUCUUUAUUAUAAAUAAAAUAAAAUGAAGACAACAUGUCUGUCAAUUUAGGUUUUACUGGAAGGAGAUCAAUCUCAACCGCCACACAGAAGCUAUGCAUAUGAAUCUCACGGAUCAUCACGGCUGGCAUACCUUCGAGCACCUCCCUAUGCACUGUUUCAGGUUCCCAUUGUCUGUCAAACACAAUCACACUUGUCAGUAAUCUAUUGUAUCCAGAACAAUCACCACAGGUGGAUUUAAUUAAAUUAAAAAUGCAUCAUAAUCAGUGCAGAUCUAGGAUUCGAAAGCAAAUUUUUAAAAAAUAUCUAUGUAUUUUAUAAUUUGGAACACUUCUAUAAUCCUGUAAAACUUAGAACGAUGAAAAAAUGUAAAAAGAAAUUUUAGGAGAAUACGUGUCUCCGGGCCUCUUACUAGAUCCGCCUCGACACAUAAAAUUAUAUUGGAGCCUGCCGCGUGGCCUUACCGAGAAUAGUUAAAGUGUUGCAGAGAUCAGCCGCGCAACCAAGCUGACAGUAGUAGUUGAGCGAGGGCUGGGGCGAAGAAGGGCGGCAGCUGCUCAAACAUUUGUAGUAACACGGAUAGGUGGUGGUUGUGGGAAUUCUGUCUCCUUUGAGAAUAAUGCAUUUGUUGUAACACCCUCCCCAGCAUUCAUAUUCUGUUGCUGCUCUUGCGCCGCUUGUUGCCAGUACUAAUAAAACGAUUCCCAACAAAAUCUUGUUUACGUCUAAUUUUGUGUUAGUCAUCUCCAUCGUUACUAGAUUUCAUUGCCAUCUUCAUCGCGCAUAUAGUUUAUAUGGAGGAUGUAAUAAAUGGAGCAGGGUGUGCUUCUCACCAGCUAGACUGCCAACUGUUUUCUAACAUUUGAAAGUCAUAUAUGUUAUGCUUGUUAGCCGCAGAACUUCCGCACAGGCUGACGUUCAUGGCAGUUUGCUGCUGACCUGACUGCUAAUGUUAUUUCCUUUUUAGUCUGAAUGAGAUUUACUAUGACAUUUGGUGCCAAAUAUUUGGUCAUUUUAGUAUGGAUAAGACUUACUAUUUCAGCCAUUCGGUGUGAAAUAAGUGCUCAUUCGUAAGAAAAACUAUUGUGCUUGUGCAUAUGGUAUAUAUUUGAUUUGAUCCUUGUCAGUUUGACCAAGACUCCAAGAGGGAGACCAUAUCAGGAUUAGGGUCACGGGGUUACCAAAUAUCCAAACAUUUGGUAGCAACUAGAAUAAAUUGUUGUAUUUUAAAUAGAAUAAAUUUUUGUAUUUUAAAAAUAGAAAUAUAUCUAUAAUUUAGAAUUGUUAUAAAUAAAAUAUAUAUUUUAUAUAGUCAAGUUAGGUAGAGUAUCGGAGUCUUAAAGUCCACAUAUAUUUUACAAGUAAAAUACUUGUAAAAUAUAAUUUAAAAGAGAUAUUAUAGAAUAUAUUAUUAUUUCGAAUGAUAUUCUGCGAAUAUUAUUAUUUUAUUAAAAAUCUUGUCGUAAAUUAUAGCUUAAUAUUUUUUAUUCGGUAAAAAUCUUGAAAAUCAUUAUUCUAUAUAUAUAGCUUAAUAUUUCUUAUUAGUUGAGAAUUUUUGUCGUAAACUGAAUUUUAAACUUGUUCAAUAAAUUAAGAUCUCAGUCUUUUCUUCGCAAAGUACCCGAGAAUAGUGUUUUUUUUUUACUUAGAAUGGAAAGAAAAGUAGGUUUUGUUUGCGAGUCUAGUUAGAACUUUUACAAAUAUCAAACCAUACAUAAUUUUUGAAGUUUCUUAAUCAUUUUCAAUGAGAAUUUUCCUAUCUGAAGCCACCUAAGUGUAAGAUGAUACCUGAUCUCCAUCAAUCCUCUAUGUUCGGAGAAAGGGUUUGUAUUAAGAAAUCAAUUGAAAUUGUUUUCUAAUACUUUAACUAGUUUCAUACAUAAAAAUAUAAUAUUAAAAAUUUGCAUUCAAAUAAAUUAACAUUAUAAUAUAUUCUGUUUUUUAAAAAAAUUUAAUUAGGAUACUCCAGAUUACCAUAGCCACGGGCGACAGCUACGAUAGAGAGUCCUAAUUCCGUGCUUUAUUUGUUAAUGAGAGUAAAAUCAAAUGGCCCUUCAAUUUGAAACCCUAAUUUCAGUUGAUUUCUCAUUUUCCAUCUUCUAAUUAAUUGUUUCAUAUGUAUAAUUUCAUUUUACAAAUAUAUAAUUAAAUAAUCUGGAGUAUCCUGAUUAAUUUUUUUUUUAAAAACAGAAUAUAUUAUAAUGUUAGUUUCAUCUUCUAAUUAUAUUUUUAAUAAAAAUAUAAUAUUAAAAAAUUUGCAUUCUGCCUUUUAAUUAAACAAUUAAUUAAAUACUCCAAAUUAUUUAAUUAAUUGUUUCAUCAAUACCCUUUAUUAAUAAGCGAAACCACUUUUCGGUGGAACAUCGGUACCAAAAGUACCAAAAUUUGGUCACUUUCAUAUUAAUUAGGAUUUUAGAUUCAUUAUUAUACUAUUAUCAAAAGACUUCUAUAUUGAAUAGAACUUUAUUAUUAAAGACCUCAAUAUUCAUUAGGAUAGUGAAAGACAUCUGUAUUGAUUAGAAUUUUAUUAUUAAAAACUUCAAUAUUGAUUAGGAUAAUGUUAUAUAGAUUUUUUAUUUAAUAACAAUAAUCAUUAUAGAAUUAUGAAAAGAUUUUCAUAUUGUUAGGAUUUUAUAAUUAUUAUUAUACAUUUUUAGACUUUUAUAAUUAUUAUUAUACAAUUAUGAAAAGACUUCUAUAUUGAUUUGGAUUUUAUAUUAAAAAUUUCAAUAUUGCUUAAGAUUAUUACACUACUAUAAAAAGACUUCUAUGGUAUUUAGGAUUUUGUAAUAUAACAUUUAUCAUAUC
rnacentral:lncRNA from 1 species